rnacentral:rRNA from 1 species
UGAGGAAAUAUUGGUCAAUGGGCGCGAGCCUGAACCAGCCAAGUAGCGUGCAGGAUGACGGCCCUAUGGGUUGUAAACUGCUUUUGUAUGGGGAUAAAGUCAAUCACGUGUGAUUGUUUGCAGGUACCAUACGAAUAAGGACCGGCUAAUUCCGUGCCAGCAGCCGCGGUAAUACGGAAGGUCCGGGCGUUAUCCGGAUUUAUUGGGUUUAAAGGGAGCGUAGGCCGGAGAUUAAGUGUGUUGUGAAAUGUAGACGCUCAACGUCUGACUUGCAGCGCAUACUGGUUUCCUUGAGUACGCACAACGUUGGCGGAAUUCGUCGUGUAGCGGUGAAAUGCUUAGAUAUGACGAAGAACUCCGAUUGCGAAGGCAGCUGACGGGAGCGCAACUGACGCUUAAGCUCGAAGGUGCGGGUAUCGAACAGGAUUAGAUACCCUGGUAGUCCGCACAGUAAACGAUGGAUGCCCGCUGUUGGUACCUGGUAUCAGCGGCUAAGCGAAAGCAUUAAGCAUCCCACCUGGGGAGUACGCCGGCAACGGUG